rnacentral:misc_RNA from 1 species
AAGGAGUCUAACAUUAAUGCGAGUAUGUGGGUGGAAAACCCAACAUCCGAAUUGAAAUUAAUUGAUGCCAAGCGCAAGCAGCAGCAUCGACCGCCUUUAAAUACCUAUUAAGGUUUGAGUGAGAGCAUAGUUGUUGGGACCCGAAAGAUGGUGAACUAUGCCUGAAUAGGGUGAAGCCAGAGGAAACUCUGGUGGAGGCUCGUAGCGAUUCUGACGUGCAAAUCGAUCGUCAAAUUUGGGUAUAGGGGCGAAAGACUAAUCGAACCAUCUAGCAGCUGGUUCCUGC